AGAGUUUGAUCCUGGCUCAGAACGAACGUUAACGGCGUGGAUUAGGCAUGCAAGUCGAGCGAGAAAGUAUCCUUCGGGAUGCGAGUAAAGCGGCGCAAGGGUGAGUAAUACCUGGGUAAUCUGUCCUCGGGAGGGGGAUAGCCGCUGGAAACGGCGAGUAAUACCGCGUAAUGUCGCGGGUCGCAAGACCUGUGACCAAAGGUGGGGACCUUCGGGCCUGCCGCCUGAGGAGGAGCCCAGGCGCUAUUAGCUUGUUGGUGGGGUAAAGGCCCACCAAGGCGAUGAUGGCUAGCUGGAUUGAGAGGUCGAUCAGCCACACUGGGACUGACACACUGCCCAGACUCCUACGGGAGGCUGCAGUCGAGAAUCUUCGGCAAUGCGCGCAAGCGUGACCGAGCGACGCCGUGUGUGGGAUGAAGGUCUUCGGAUUGUAAACCACUGUCACCGUUUAGGAAGGCUCCGCGGUUAAUACCCGCGGAAAUGACCAAGCGGAGAGGAAACCACUGCUAACUUCGUGCCAGCAGCAGCGGUAAUACGAGGGUGGCCAACGUUGUUCGGAAUCACUGGGCAUAAAGCGGGUGUAGGCGGUUUGGUCAGUCAAGUGUGAAAUCCCCCGGCUUAACCGGGGAACCGCCCCUGAUACUGCCAG
rnacentral:rRNA from 1 species